GGAGCCGUGCCUGAAUGCCCAAGGACCACUUGAUAGAGGGGUUAAUCCCCUCAGCUCCU
rnacentral:tRNA from 1 species